rnacentral:rRNA from 1 species
GUGGGGAAUUUUGGACAAUGGGCGAAAGCCUGAUCCAGCAAUGCCGCGUGCAGGAUGAAGGCCUUCGGGUUGUAAACUGCUUUUGUACGGAACGAAACGGUCCUGGCUAAUACCUGGGGCUAAUGACGGUACCGUAAGAAUAAGCACCGGCUAACUACGUGCCAGCAGCCGCGGUAAUACGUAGGGUGCGAGCGUUAAUCGGAAUUACUGGGCGUAAAGCGUGCGCAGGCGGUGCUGUAAGACAGGCGUGAAAUCCCCGGGCUCAACCUGGGAAUUGCGCUUGUGACUGCAGUGCUGGAGUGCGGCAGAGGGGGAUGGAAUUCCGCGUGUAGCAGUGAAAUGCGUAGAUAUGCGGAGGAACACCGAUGGCGAAGGCAAUCCCCUGGGCCUGCACUGACGCUCAUGCACGAAAGCGUGGGGAGCAAACAGGAUUAGAUACCCGGGUAGUCC